GACGAACGCUGGCGGCGUGCUUAACACAUGCAAGUCGAACGGAAAGGCCCUGCUUUUGUGGGGUGCUCGAGUGGCGAACGGGUGAGUAACACGUGAGUAACCUGCCCUUGACUUUGGGAUAACUUCAGGAAACUGGGGCUAAUACCGGAUAGGAGCUCCUGCCGCAUGGUGGGGGUUGGAAAGUUUCGGCGGUUGGGGAUGGACUCGCGGCUUAUCAGCUUGUUGGUGGGGUAGUGGCUUACCAAGGCUUUGACGGGUAGCCGGCCUGAGAGGGUGACCGGCCACAUUGGGACUGAGAUACGGCCCAGACUCCUACGGGAGGCAGCAGUGGGGAAUAUUGCAAAAUGGGCGGAAGCCUGAUGCAGCAACGCCGCGUGCGGGAUGACGGCCUUCGGGUUGUAAACCGCUUUCGCCUGUGACGAAGCGUGAGUGACGGUAAUGGGUAAAGAAGCACCGGCUAACUACGUG
rnacentral:rRNA from 1 species